rnacentral:lncRNA from 1 species
ACAAACAAACAAACAAAAAAACAACAACAUUGCUUAUAUUAGUCAUCAAUAACAAGCAACAAAGCAAACACAGCUGGUGGUUUGGAGGGUCUUUGUGCUGUGUACCAGCCAUGGAAAUGUCGCAGGGGCUGCCUGUAGGGCCAGCUCACAGCAUAGGAUGCAGCUGGUUUCCUGCAACCAAAAUACCUUCUUGAAGGUAAGAUUGCACAACCACCUCCUUCUGAAUGCCAUCAGGAGAGCCCUGUGGUCUUUCCAGCACAAGGGAUGCUUUUUUCCGCAGUCUGUCCUUCCUCACUCAUUCCACAGAAAGCUUUAGAUGCAGCUUGUACACUCAUAUAUUAAUUGUUAAAUGGCCUUCUGGGACUGAUUAUUCCACAUUUCUUUGAAUAUAAACUCUUAACAUCUUUGUCUAAUGAUGUGAUCAUUGUAUUAGUCUUUGUCAGAUCAUGGGAAAUCCUCCCAGCAGGGCUUCACCCAGGAAAAAUGUUUCUUUUGCUUUUACGGGGGGAAGCUGAGUUCAGUUAGGGUGACUAGCAUGAGCAGCACUGCACAGUGGGCAGGAGGGCAGGCAAUGUGAAAUGCAUCUUCAACAAGUUUUAGUCCAGUUCCCUGUUCCUUAUGCAAACAAAACCAUCUGUGGAGGAAUCUGAAUAAUGGGCAUGUAGUAGAACAGUCAUUGGAGACUCAGGAUUCAGUGGUGAAAUGACACUGGAAAUGGGCUCCGUGAUUUUCUUACAUUCAUUUCACUGCUAUUGGUAGGCACCUGUCUCUUGCAAAAAUGGGAUGUAGGAUUUUAGUGAUCACUGUGUCCACUCCCUCACAGAAAUCAGCAACCACCUCAUAAAUACUGUGUCCGGAAAGGCCCAAAAGAACUUCAGUCUCUGAUUCCCCUGUCCGUUUUCUAGGUAUGAAGCAAGAAGUUAUCAUGUGAGUGACAGAAGCUUUCUAAAUGAAGUGUCCUACUGAAGACUUGGUCCUGAGCAAGGCCGGUGGCAAAUCCCCCCACCAAGUAAGAGCAGAGUUGGUAGACUGCUGGCGGCUGCUAGAAGGGACCCUGAGACAACUCGUCUUCUGGCGCUGCUCUAGGAGGGAACAACAAAAUACAAGGUUUGUGAUGAUGCUGAAGGUGGCUUAAGUGUGCUGACACUGGAAGUGAUUCAGGACGGCACUGCGCACCAGGGUGAGGAGUCCUUUGAAUGCGCCACGUCAACCAGCUCUUGUAACAGCAACUCCAGGGCAGAGAUGGUGCUUGCAACCGCCUCCAGACCUGCUCCUUGCCACACAGAAAGGUAUGGGCUGCAAAAAGGUAUACACAGGUUUUAAACCUUCCCAGGGGCUGUGAAAUACCAUGCAGUGUACCCCACAGGUAGGUUCAGAUGCUUUGAAAAUUCAGCAAGAACGCUUUUUUUAGACCCCUUUCUAGGGAAGGGGAAUGAGGCAUCCUCUAUUUGUCUUGAGGAAUGUACGCCUAAAACACUCAGAAGAACUAUGCAACCUGUUUGAUUUUACAUAAUCUUCACUUUUUUUUUUACUAAUACAUUAGAGCUUAACUGUCUUGCAGUUUCUAAUUUUUAAACAAACAUAGCAUGAGGAAAAUAUUAACGAAGUUAUGUAAAUACAACAGGAAGCAGAGAAACUAAAUGAGUGAACUAGACCAAGCUGAGGCAAUUCUAAAAGUCUGUGUAGCUUUCCAGUAGAAUGUCUUGUUCUCAUGUUUAUGGAUAAAUUUCUAUGACUGGAUAUUGCUGUUGGGGAAAAAAAGUGCAAUAUGCAUGUCCGGUGUAUUUGAAUUAAGGUUUUAAAGUAUUUUGGAUUCAGUUUUUAGACAUACAGUGCUUUUGAUGGAAAUCCUGUGCUGAGUCUCCUUUGAUGCUUGUAUAAAAAAAGAGGGAAGAAGCAGAGGUGAAAGAUGACUGAAAAAAAGUGCUGCUCUCAACUGAGCAUUUUCAUGGCAAGUGAUUUUUCAAAACAUGCUAUUGCAAACCAGCAAUGACCAUCGUGGCUUUAGCUGUGACAGAAAAAUGAAUCAGGGACCUCUGUGCUCAAAGCUGCACAGUGUGCAGCUGUUUUAAUAGUGCAGGAGGUGUUUAAUAAGCAGAGUCUCUGCACAGAAGAAAGGAAAAAAAAGAAAAAAC